rnacentral:sRNA from 1 species
UCCUUAGGAAUAAGGACAAGCCGACCAG